rnacentral:rRNA from 1 species
AAGUAGUUAAGAGCUUAUGGUGGAUACCUUGGCAUUUAGAAGCGAUGAAGGGCGUGACUACCAGCGAAAUGCUUCGGUUAGUUGGAAGUAAACUAUGACCCGGAGGUUCCCGAAUGAGGCAACUCUUUUAUACUAUCUAUUGAAUUUAUAAAUAGAUUAGGGCAAACUUAGUGAACUGAAACAUCUUAGUAGCUAAAGGAAUAGAAAGCAAAAGCGAUUCUCUUAGUAGCGGCGAGCGAAAAGGGAUCAGCCCAAACCACUUUAAUAAGUUUAUGUGGGGUAGUGGGACAAAAAUAUGAUUUUAUAUAAUGUUAUGUGAAACAAUUGGAAUCUUGUAUCGUAGAAGGUGAUAAUCCUGUAACUUAAAGCAUAAUAUAAGAUUUUUUGUAUCCCAAGUAGCAUGGGGCACGUGAAAUCCCGUGUGAAUCUGCGAGGACCACCUCGUAAGGCUAAAUAUUACUAAAUGACCGAUAGUGAACUAGUACCGUGAGGGAAAGGUGAAAAGAACCCCGGGAGGGGAGUGAAAUAGAACAUGAAACCAUAAGCUUACAAGCAGUAGGAGGACUACUAAAAGUUUGACUGUGUGCAUGUUGAAGAAUGAGCCGGCGACUUAUAUGUUAUGGCAGGUUAAAAUAUUAAGUAUUGGAGCCAUAGUGAAAGCGAGCUUUAAUAGAGCGAUAGUCAUAUUAUAUAGACCCGAACCCGGAUGAUCUAACCAUGACCAGGGUGAAGCUUAGGUAACACUAAGUGAAGGUCCGAACCGACUGAUGUUGAAAAAUCAGCGGACGAGUUGUGGUUAGGGGUGAAAUGCCAAUCGAAUUCGGAGCUAGCUGGUUCUCCCCGAAAUGCGUUUUGGCGCAGCGGUUGAUGCUAUAACUUAGGGGUAAAGCACUGUUUCGGUGCGGGCUGCGAGAGCGGUACCAAAUCAAGGCAAACUCUGAAUACUAAGUGUGUAAUCAACCAGUGAGACAGUGGGGGAUAAGCUUCAUUGUCAAAAGGGAAACAGCCCAGAUCACCAUCUAAGGCCCCCAAAUAAUUGCUAAGUGAUAAAGGAAGUAAGAAUGCUUAUACAGCCAGGAGGUUUGCUUAGAAGCAGCAAUCCUUUAAAGAGUGCGUAAUAGCUCACUGGUCUAGUGAUCUUGCGCCGAAAAUGAACGGGGCUAAGCAAUUUGCCGAAGAUGUGGGAUGUUUUACAUCGGUAGGGGAGCGUUCUGUUGUAGUUUGAAGCAUUAACGUAAGUGGAUGUGGACAAAGCAGAAGUGAGAAUGUCGGCUUGAGUAGCGAAAACAUUGGUGAGAAUCCAAUGCCCCGAAAACCUAAGGUUUCCUUUGGAAGGUUCGUCCGCGAAGGGUGAGUCAGGGCCUAAGGCGAGGUUGAAAAACGUAGUCGAUGGAUAACAGGUUAAUAUUCCUGUACUAUUUAUUAUUGAUAUCAAGGGACGGAGAAGGCUAAAUCAUCCGGAUGUUGGUUACCGGUUUAAGUUAUCAAGGCUAAGAAAAGUGGAGAAAACAUUUUGAGCUGAGAAACGAAUACAAAGUACUAAGGUACUAAAGUGAUUGAUGUCAUGCUUCCUAGAAAAGCUUAUAAUAUCUUAAAUAAUAAAUACCUGUACCUUAAACCGACACAGGUAGGUAAGUAGAGUAUACUAAGGGGCGCGAGAUAACUCUCUCUAAGGAACUCGGCAAAAUAGCCCCGUAACUUCGGGAGAAGGGGUGCCCUUUGUAGGGUUGCAAUAAAUAGGCCCAAGCGACUGUUUACCAAAAACACAGGUCUCCGCGAAGUCGUAAGACAAUGUAUGGGGGCUGACGCCUGCCCAGUGCCGGAAGGUUAAAGAAGUUGGUUAGAUUUUUCAAAGCUAAUAACUGAAGCCCCGGUGAACGGCGGCCGUAACUAUAACGGUCCUAAGGUAGCGAAAUUCCUUGUCGGGUAAGUUCCGACCCGCACGAAAGGCGUAACGAUUUGGGUACUGUCUCAGAGAGAGACUCGGCGAAAUAGAAUUGUCUGUGAAGAUGCGGACUACCUGCACCUGGACAGAAAGACCCUAUGAAGCUUUACUGUAGCUUGGAAUUGAAUUUGAGUUUAUUUUGCGCAGUAUAGGUGGGAGGCUAAGAUUUUGUAUUUGAGGGUAUAAAGGAGCCAUCAGUGAGAUACCACUCUAAUUAAACUAGAAUUCUAAUCUUAAUGCCGUUAUCCGGCUAAGAAACAUUUUCAGGUGGGCAGUUUGACUGGGGCGGUCGCCUCCUAAAAAGUAACGGAGGCGUGCAAAGGUUCCUUCAGGCUGGUCGGAAAUCAGUCGUAGAGUAUAAAGGCAUAAAGGAGCUUGACUGCAAGACCUACAAGUCGAGCAGAGACGAAAGUCGGCCUUAGUGAUCCGACAGUGCUGAGUGGAAAGGCUGUCGCUCAACGGAUAAAAGUUACUCUAGGGAUAACAGGCUGAUCUCCCCCAAGAGUUCACAUCGACGGGGAGGUUUGGCACCUCGAUGUCGGCUCAUCGCAUCCUGGGGCGGUAGCACGUCCCAAGGGUUGGGCUGUUCGCCCAUGAAAGCGGUACGCGAGCUGGGUUCAGAACGUCGUGAGACAGUUCGGUCCAUAUCCGGUGUAGGCGUUAGAGUAUUGAGAGGAUUUCUCCUUAGUACGAGAGGACCGGGAGAGACAUACCGCUGGUGUACCAGUUAUUGUGCCAACAGUAAACGCUGGGUAGCUAAGUAUGGAUGUGAUAACCGCUGAAAGCAUCUAAGUGGGAAGCCUACCUCAAGAUGAAUACUCUGAUCAUUAAGAUUAAGAUCACGGUCAGACUAACCGUUUGAUAGGCGUUAAGUGUAAGUGUAGUAAUACAUUCAGCUGAAACGUACUAAUAGAUCGAAUAC